UAACACAUGCAAGUCGAACGGUCUUUUAGGAGACAGUGGCGGACGGGUGAGUAACGCGUAAGAAUCUACCUUCAGGUUGGGGACAACCACUGGAAACGGUGGCUAAUACCGAAUGUGCCGAGAGGUGAAAGGCUUGCUGCCUGAAGAAGAGCUUGCGUCUGAUUAGCUAGUUGGUAGUGUAAGAGACUACCAAGGCGACGAUCAGUAGCUGGUCUGAGAGGAUGAUCAGCCACACUGGGACUGAGACACGGCCCAGACUCCUACGGGAGGCAGCAGUGGGGAAUUUUCCGCAAUGGGCGAAAGCCUGACGGAGCAAUACCGCGUGAGGGAGGAAGGCUCUUGGGUUGUAAACCUCUUUUCUCAGGGAAGAACAGAAUGACGGUACCUGAGGAAUAAGCAUCGGCUAACUCCGUGCCAGCAGCCGCGGUAAUACGGAGGAUGCAAGCGUUAUCCGGAAUGAUUGGGCGUAAAGGGUCCGCAGGUGGCAUUGUAAGUCUGCUGUUAAAGAGUUUGGCUCAACCAAAUAAGAGCAGUGGAAACUACAAAGCUAGAGUGUGGUCGGGGCAGAGGGAAUUCCUGGUGUAGCGGUGAAAUGCGUAGAUAUCAGGAAGAACACCAGUGGCGAAGGCGCUCUGCUAGGCCGAGACUGACACUGAGGGACGAAAGCUAGGGGAGCGAAUGGGAUUAGAUACCCCAGUAGUCCUAGCCGUAAACGAUGGAUACUAGGCGUAGCUCGUAUCGACCCGAGCUGUGCCGGAGCUAACGCGUUAAGUAUCCCGCCUGGGGAGUACGCAGGCAACUGUGAAACUCAAAGGAAUUGACGGGGGCCCGCACAAGCGGUGGAGUAUGUGGUUUAAUUCGAUGCAACGCGAAGAACCUUACCAAGGCUUGACAUGUCACGAAUCCUAUUGAAAGAUGGGAGUGCCUUCGGGAGCGUGAACACAGGUGGUGCAUGGCUGUCGUCAGCUCGUGUCGUGAGAUGUUGGGUUAAGUCCCGCAACGAGCGCAACCCUCGUUUUUAGUUGCCAGCAUUARGWUGGGCACUCUAGAGAGACUGCCGGUGACAAACCGGAGGAAGGUGGGGAUGACGUCAAGUCAGCAUGCCCCUUACGUCUUGGGCUACACACGUACUACAAUGCUACGGACAAAGGGCAGCUACACAGCGAUGUGAUGCGAAUCUCGUAAACCGUAGCUCAGUUCAGAUCGAAGGCUGCAACUCGCCUUCGUGAAGGAGGAAUCGCUAGUAAUUGCAGGUCAGCAUACUGCAGUGAAUUCGUUCCCGGGCCUUGUACACACCGCCCGUCACACCAUGGAAGUUGGUCACGCCCGAAGUCGUUACCCCAACCUAUUGGAGGGGGAUGCCUAAGGUAGGACUGAUGACUGGGGUGAAGUCGUAACAAGGUAGCCGUA
rnacentral:rRNA from 1 species